AUGAGAAUGCCUAAUCCCAUAGAGGUAGACCGAGCUCUGUUUGUUGAGUUUAUCAAGCUUAAAAAGUGUGGGGUGAGUAUCAAAUUCUUCUCCUGGUCUGAUGAUAUUGAUUCUGAUGGUUUAUUAGAAGUGGCUUGGGUUAGAAUUGGGAGGAUCCCUCCCAACAAGCGCUAUGACAGAACGGUUGCUUAUGUUGGGGGGCUAGUGGGCGUCACUCUGGAGAUAGACAUGUCUACUAUCAACCACCCUUCUUCAGUUAGAGCUAAGAUUGGAUGUUGUUUUGUGGACCAACUUCCUACCUCAGCUGAAGGAAUGUUGGGAGGUCAUUUCUAUAGAUUCACCUAUGAAGUGGAAGAGGUGCUGGUGAGAAAUCCUGUAGAUGAGGGCAUUGCUGCUGCUGUGUCUAAGGGUGAUACAAACAAGCCUGACCAAACACCGAAGCGCAAGCGUGUCGAACAUGAACAAAAUGAUGAAAAAUCUGAGGCUUCUGACCAUGGAAAAACUGGACCCUCCUCCCAUGGUGGCAAAACCUGUCGUUUGCUACCACAGGAGAGUGAGGUGUCUUUUUCUUCUGAUAGUGAGGUUGAUAGCACUUUACUCAUUGAGUCUAUGGCUAGAAACUAG
rnacentral:rRNA from 1 species